rnacentral:rRNA from 1 species
UUUUCUUCAUCUGAUUUUCUUUUUCAAAGAUCAAAGAAAAAACUAAUAUAAAUAUAGAGCAUGAAAAAGGCAUGAAUUUAAUAAAAUUAAUGUAGAGGCAAUAAAAUAUAUUUACAAGCGUUGCACGGCUGUCUUCAGUUAAUGUCGUGAGACUAUGGUUAGUUCCAUUAAUUAACGUAAACCCUUACUUUAUUUUUAAAUAAAGUAGUUCUCCACUAUAUUGGAUAUGAUAACAGGACUAAGGCA